UUCAACUUAAUAAAUUUUCAUAAAAAAAGAGGCGUCCCCUCACAACUCAGUUGACAAACACACACACAUACACACAGAGAUGCCAACAUGGCUAAGUGUUUAAACAGCGCCGUAGAAAGCAGUCGAGACGCCUGCAAGGGCUGCCUCAUUACGGAAGCCAGCGUUGGCGAACGACGAAGGAAAUACUGAAAGGGAGACAGCGAGGAAGACGCAGGACAAUGAGGACGCCGGUGAAAAUGGCGACGACAGGAAGUGAAGUUGUCGAAACUGCGUUCCCCUGCCUCUGCCCGUUUGCCUUCUGUCCGCAUAGAACUUUUUAUGUAGCACAGCUAAAAGCGUGUGCGAUUGUCUCUGCUAGUGUGCGAGUGUGUGAGUGUGUGUGUGUGUGUGUGUGUGUGAGUGUGUAAGUACGCAGCAGGCUGGGCUAGAGCAAGGCUCGCAGCAGAGCUACAAUUUAAGACAGAGCUAAAUGAAAGUGCGGCCUGCAGCUGUAGCUGAAAAGGAGAAGACAAAACUGAAUCUGGAAAUGGCUAUGGGUGUGGCAACGGCCUGGUUAGUGGGUCGGGGCGUGGUUCUGAGGCAGCUGCCGAAUGUAGACUAAAUCAAGUUAGCACACUGAAUGGCCAAUGAGCAAUGAAAACGUUGCCAUGGCUAUGCACUUUCAGAAGCCAUUUUUUUGCGUCUGUGUGCGUGUGUCUGCCUGUGUGAGUGAGUGUGAGUGCGCAUUUCACAUCUCUUUCUCUGCCAAUUCACCAACAUUUUUAUAUCAUCAAUUUGGGCUAGUGCCAAACUUUGCCAACUACUCUCGUGUUAUGUGGAAAAUAAGGAAAAAGGCAAAGCAUUGCACACCCUCGCCCACACAAACGCGCAUAACCACACACACACUCACACGCACACACAAGUUUGUGGCCAGUUGCCAGGAUGGGAUUUUGUUGGUGCAUUUGAAUGUUUUGCAUGGGACUUUCGUAUAAUAUGAAUGCACUUAAAUUAAAUUCCAUAUUUUUAUGUAGUUUUAAAAUUUCAACCGAAAUAAAAUGUUCUCUACGAAAUGUA